rnacentral:rRNA from 1 species
UACGUAGGGUGCAAGCGUUAAUCGGAAUUACUGGGCGUAAAGCGUGCGCAGGCGGUUCGCUAAGACCGAUGUGAAAUCCCCGGGCUUAACCUGGGAACUGCAUUGGUGGCUGGCGGGCUAGAGUAUGGCAGAGGGGGGUAGAAUUCCACGUGUAGCAGUGAAAUGCGUAGAUAUGCGGAGGAACCCCGAUGGCGAAGGCAAUCCCCUGGGCCUGCACUGACGCUAAUGCACGAAAGCGUGGGGAGCAAACAGG